UCAUCAUUGAUGAUGCUAGCUUAUCCCUUUUGGGGGUGAAAAUUUCCCAGAAUCAGCUGAUGUCUACACAACUUUUGAAGUCUGCAGCUGGCAUAUGAGUUUAAGUAGGCUAAAACAGAACUCAAACAAAAUGAAGAUAAAGCUAGGAGGUAAUUUCCAACUCCUGACAAGGAUCCAAUUUACUCAAACAUAGAUGUGAUUCUAUAUGUCGGUUCCAAGUUGCCACCUUCGCCAUACUUUCUUUUAAACUUAACAAGAAAUUUAUAUGUUCUAAAAUAUAACAUUGUUUUUAGUUUAACCUUACUGAUGUAACUCCUUGGUAUCUUGUAUUUUUUAUUCAAUGUUAUGCCAUGUUAUGACCUGUGGUCACAAACAUAAACUUAUUACUUACUUAGCUUGUGAACCACCUAACCGAUUUGAACCAAGUUUGCUACAGCUGUAGGGACACAUAGGGACACCUCAAUGCUGCAGUUUGUGAUCAUG